rnacentral:rRNA from 1 species
AGCGAACGCUGGCGGCAGGCCUAACACAUGCAAGUCGAACGAAGCCUUCGGGCUUAGUGGCGGACGGGUGAGUAACACGUGGGAACGUACCUUUUGGUUCGGAACAACUCAGGGAAACUUGAGCUAAUACCGGAUGAGCCCUUAGGGGGAAAGAUUUAUCGCCGAAAGAGCGGCCCGCGUUAGAUUAGCUAGUUGGUGAGGUAAAGGCUCACCAAGGCAACGAUCUAUAGCUGGUCUGAGAGGAUGAUCAGCCGCACUGGGACUGAGACACGGCCCAGACUCCUACGGGAGGCAGCAGUGGGGAAUCUUGCGCAAUGGGCGAAAGCCUGACGCAGCCAUGCCGCGUGAAUGAUGAAGGUCUUAGGAUUGUAAAAUUCUUUUACCAGGGACGAUAAUGACGGUACCUGGAGAAAAAGCCCCGGCUAACUUCAUGCCAGCCGCCGCAAUAACAC